rnacentral:rRNA from 1 species
AUACGGAGGGUGCAAGCGUUGUCCGGAUUUAUUGGGUUUAAAGGGUGCGUAGGCGGAUAAUUAAGUCAGUGGUGAAAGACUGCAGCUCAACUGUAGAGGUGCCAUUGAUACUGAUUAUCUUGAGUACAGUUGAGGUAGGCGGAAUUCAUGGUGUAGCGGUGAAAUGCAUAGAUACCAUAAAGAACACCGAUAGCGAAGGCAGCUUACUGGACUGUAACUGACGCUGAGGCACGAAAGCGUGGGGAGCGAACGGGAUUAGAUACCCUAGUAGUCC